rnacentral:rRNA from 1 species
AGAGUUUGAUCAUGGCUCAGAUUGAACGCUGGCGGCAUGCCUUACACAUGCAAGUCGAACGGCAGCACGGGAGCUUGCUCCUGGUGGCGAGUGGCGAACGGGUGAGUAAUAUAUCGGAACGUACCCAGUAGUGGGGGAUAGCCCGGCGAAAGCCGGAUUAAUACCGCAUACGAUCUACGGAUGAAAGCGGGGGAUCGCAAGACCUCGCGCUAUUGGAGCGGCCGAUAUCUGAUUAGCUAGUUGGUAGGGUAAAAGCCUACCAAGGCUACGAUCAGUAGCUGGUCUGAGAGGACGACCAGCCACACUGGAACUGAGACACGGUCCAGACUCCUACGGGAGGCAGCAGUGGGGAAUUUUGGACAAUGGGCGAAAGCCUGAUCCAGCAAUGCCGCGUGAGUGAAGAAGGCCUUCGGGUUGUAAAGCUCUUUUGUCAGGGAAGAAACGGUAGAGGCUAAUAUCCUUUGCUAAUGACGGUACCUGAAGAAUAAGCACCGGCUAACUACGUGCCAGCAGCCGCGGUAAUACGUAGGGUGCAAGCGUUAAUCGGAAUUACUGGGCGUAAAGCGUGCGCAGGCGGUUGUGCAAGACAGAUGUGAAAUCCCCGGGCUCAACCUGGGAAUUGCAUUUGUGACUGCACGGCUAGAGUGUGUCAGAGGGGGGUAGAAUUCCACGUGUAGCAGUGAAAUGCGUAGAGAUGUGGAGGAAUACCGAUGGCGAAGGCAGCCCCCUGGGAUAACACUGACGCUCAUGCACGAAAGCGUGGGGAGCAAACAGGAUUAGAUACCCUGGUAGUCCACGCCCUAAACGAUGUCUACUAGUUGUCGGGUCUUAAUUGACUUGGUAACGCAGCUAACGCGUGAAGUAGACCGCCUGGGGAGUACGGUCGCAAGAUUAAAACUCAAAGGAAUUGACGGGGACCCGCACAAGCGGUGGAUGAUGUGGAUUAAUUCGAUGCAACGCGAAAAACCUUACCUACCCUUGACAUGUACGGAAGCUUUGAGAGAUCAGAGUGUGCUCGAAAGAGAGCCGUAACACAGGUGCUGCAUGGCUGUCGUCAGCUCGUGUCGUGAGAUGUUGGGUUAAGUCCCGCAACGAGCGCAACCCUUGUCAUUAGUUGCUACAUUUAGUUGAGCACUCUAAUGAGACUGCCGGUGACAAACCGGAGGAAGGUGGGGAUGACGUCAAGUCCUCAUGGCCCUUAUGGGUAGGGCUUCACACGUCAUACAAUGGUACAUACAGAGGGCCGCCAACCCGCGAGGGGGAGCUAAUCCCAGAAAGUGUAUCGUAGUCCGGAUUGUAGUCUGCAACUCGACUACAUGAAGUUGGAAUCGCUAGUAAUCGCGGAUCAGCAUGUCGCGGUGAAUACGUUCCCGGGUCUUGUACACACCGCCCGUCACACCAUGGGAGCGGGUUUCACCAGAAGUGGGUAGCCUAACCGCAAGGAGGGCGCUCACCACGGUGGGAUUCGUGACUGGGGUGAAGUCGUAACAAGGUAACCGUAGGGGAACCUGCGGUUG